AGUUGGGCACUCUAAGUUGACUGCCGGUGACAAACCGGAGGAAGGUGGGGAUGACGUCAAAUCAUCAUGCCCCUUAUGAUUUGGGCUACACACGUGCUACAAUGGACAAUACAAAGGGCAGCGAAACCGCGAGGUCAAGCAAAUCCCAUAAAGUUGUUCUCAGUUCGGAUUGUAGUCUGCAACUCGACUACAUGAAGCUGGAAUCGCUAGUAAUCGUAGAUCAGCAUGCUACGGUGAAUACGUUCCCGGG
rnacentral:rRNA from 1 species